rnacentral:tRNA from 1 species
UGAUAUAUUUAAAAACUUACAAUUUUUUCUUCCUCGCAAAGGUAUAUCAU